AAAUUUACACACAUGCAUAUACAUUCACACACACACGCAAUCACACAUACACAAAUACACACAUGCACUCCCUUACACAGGCUUGCAAACUCAUGCUCACUCUUUUUCUCACACACACACACACACACACACACACACACGCACACACAUCUCCCCAGUAUAGCUAGUAUUGUUCCUAGGUACAGCAGCCUGCCUGUGUCAUCCUUCUGGUUCUGCUGCACCCGGCACCACCUCCGCAGGCGCCCCGCUGGGCUGUCUUCAUGGCUGAGACAAAGUUUGCCAACCACAGCCAUGCCGCCCUGAACAGGAGAACUGUCCAGCAUGCCCAGAGUUAGGAUGUGACAACCCUCUUCUCAGCACUAGAAAUGGGGACACAAGGUGUCACAGCAGGACAGAACAUUUGCUGUCAGGAUGCUUCACCGUAUAACAUUAAGACUUAACAUUUUUUGACUACGUAAGUGUCUACAUGACAGAUGCUCCUACAGCUUAUUUUAUUUAAUUUUCACAACCACAUGAGGUCUUGAUCCAAGUGAAUUUAUCUUCAACCUGACAAAUGUCAUCCUGAUAAACUCAGGGCAGCAUCCCAGCUUUUAGAGACCAUAGUGGAUUUGGUCACUGCCAACUGCUGAUUUAGAUACCCCACCCAGCUUCACACUCCAAUGCUAACAUCCAGAUCUGAGUAAGAAGAAUGAGGAGGAGGAGGAGAGAGCAAAGGAGAAGACGAAUACGUAAUGAUGAGAAAGCGAGGGAAGAUGAAAAAAGGAAGGGGAGACAUAAUAAUAGCAACGAGGAAGAAAAGGAGGAGAGAAAAUGAGGAACUAUCUGGGGACCUUUCAUCCCACCCAGGACCCGCGAGGGUCACUGCUGUUGCUGCAUCAGCACCAUAUGGAGUAAGGUCAGAGAGGCCAGGGCACAGGAUGUCCUCCAGAACCCCAACAGAACAAGGGCCAGAUCAAAGUCCCUCAAGGUGGAAAAUGACAUGAGUCUGGCUUCCCCUCAUGUCCGUCUCUCCCUUGCCUACAGACUCACAGCCUUCCGCUUACUCUAGGAUCAUUCCCAGGGUCAACAUCAGAUUUGAGUCUCACCCACCUCCAGGCUUCAUCCCCAAUGCCUCUCCCACAGCACCUCAGAUCUCAUUCCAGGUCACACCAUGCCCUGGCCAGGGCGUUCUCUGGGUCAGGGCCCUGAGCACACACAGCAGCCCAGCGCUGCCUGGCUCCUGCUUUCUUCCAGGGACCCGCCUGCGCCCUUUGCACCUGCAGAUCCUCCUCUGUCCAGACCACUGUGGGCACAGUGCAGCUGCACCUUCCUCCCCUUCAAAGACACCAGCUGCCCUAGACGGCGAUGGAUCUAUGAAGCCCUUGUUCUCCUUGCUCUGAACAUGAUAUGAAAAGAUGCUUUGUGGUCGUCAGCUCUCCUCAUUAGGCUCAGCUCAUGCCUGCGCUCUUGCCCCCUGACACUCUUUACUGACCCUCGUCACUCUGUCAUUGUGAGUGUCCUGGGAAGGGCUCCUCUUGGCUCUCGUCCCUCUGACCUCAGCAGGACCUCCCUCUGAACCACACAGACAUCUCUCAUUACCACCCCACAUCCUUCCUACUUGGAAGAACCAGAUUAAUUCCAGGUCUCCCCCACUGCUUUGAGAGUCCCCAGAUCACAGGAAAUCAAGUGAUGAUCUUUGAAACUUUCUGAAACUGAGCUCCCCAAGUCUACAGGGGAUCUAACCAUGCCUCGCCUUCUCCACCAACACAGAGCACACCUCCCCAAGGCUCCCAACCCACAUGGGCCACAAAUCGGGGUCCGCUAUUACCCAACUCAGCAGGUGUUGCAGCCUGGGAGAUGAAGUCUCACCAGCCCCACCAUGUUAAAAGCUCGUGGUUCUUGGUUUAUCACCCAUCCCCUGGGCCCUGACUGCGUACUGAUCAUUCACUCAUCUGGGAACCACUGGCCACAUUCUCCCACAUUAUACCUUAACCAGGUUGUUCCAGGUAACCGAGACUCCAAUCCAGCUCUGCUGUAUCCAACCUGUGACCUUGGGCAAAGUGUGGAUCAUCGCCAUGCCUCUGCUGUCUCACCUGUAAAGAGGGUCACCUUGGCUCUCUCUUCACUGGAUUGUUGGAAAGAUUAGAUUGAUUAGUAUAGUCAAAGUGCUAAGGAGCCUGGCUCAGUAAAUGUUAGGGGGAUCAGUUCUUAUCACACUGAGUGCAAAGGGAUAGAGUCCACUCCAUGGAGGCUUUCCCAUCACUCCUGAGCUCUCAGGGACCAGUGACCAACAAUGUUUAAUGAAUGACCAAAUGGCCUGGGCAUUUUUCUUCUUCCCGCUCCAACUACAGAAGAAAGAACUCUUGGCAAACAGCUGGAUAACCUCUUUUUCCUGAGAUGUCUGAAGGCACCCGCCCCAAGCCAACUGGCCAGCCUCCAGCUGUUCUGAGCUGCAGGUCAGGCACCAGAUCUUAUUCAAAGACGCCAUAUACCCCCAACCCCCCACCGAGUGCUUUGCUGCAUCUACCUUUCUCUUCAGCUAAAACAAGAGCAGAGAAUACCUCCUGUCUUCCAAUCCUUUGGUGUCCCCAGUCUCUGGAGAAGCUUCCCAGACUCUUUUGGAAGAUUCCAGAGGACAAUCAUCUAUGGGUCUCUUCUGCCUAUGGAUUAUAAGGUCCUGGGGUUUCCUAAGAAAGGGAAUACACCUGUUAUCCUCCUGGCUCUGGCAUAUUGAAGAAACUAAACACUGAAGGUGAUCCAGGCUUUUCCAGAGGCUGGCUGGUGGUGCUGGGGAGAUGAGCACUUCCUGGCCAGCCCCUGUAGGCUCUGUGGCCAGCUAUGCCUGGACCCUUCUAGCAGCAAUGCCUGCUGUAUUCCAGCAAAGCCAAGUGCAGGAGUCCCAGGAUAAGGCAGCCCCCAGUCCUGCAGUGAGGGCGGCCCUAGUACAACACAGCUUGGCCACAUGGACCCUCAUAGGGGUGGAUGCGAUCCCAUCACCCACUCAGAUGCCCAAGACUGUGCAGAAGCAGGGCCAGUGAGAGCAGAAGGCAGAUCCGGUGCUUCAAGGGGCCCUGCUGUGCGGAUUGAGAGUCUGCCAUGUACAUGGCUGAAGAUGGCCAGGGCACAGAACAGGGAGCAACAGCAAGUACUCAUUGCCUAUGGCCCAACAACGCCAACAGGCAAUGAGUUGUGCAGUGUGGAGUGAUAUAUCAGACAUAAUAUGUGCUGAGGCUGAAGCAACAUGGAAGUCACAUAAUGGGACUGAGUUAGCCCUCCGUGCUCUGCCUCCAGGGCAUAACUUGUGUUCUAAGUCAGCCCUGCAACUCGCUACCUGCCUGACCUCAGGCAACCACUCUAGGCCUCCAUCUCCUGAUAAGUAAAACAGGAACGGUGAUCUUCACUUCAGGGGCUCACUGACAGGACUCAGCAGGGCUCUGCGCAUGCCAGGCAGCAAGAGCACAGGAACAGCAGCUCUCUUCCUAAUACAACUAGAGAAUAAAGGUGGAGCCCAAGAUGGUGGUCCCAAUUCCACUGGCAGCCUUCAAGGAAAAAGUCCGUGAUUUUACUUCAGCUACACCUUCCGACCUUCCCAGGUUCCUAUGAUAGCAUCACCCUAGGAUAAAAGUACUGAAGCCCAAGACUUAACCUUGUAGUUUAAAAAAAAAAAAAAAAAAAAGAUGUGAUUAAAUCUUUACCAAAUGUGCCACCCACUGAAUUUCUGAAAAGAAAUCUGCUAAGCCAAGCAGAUACGAUGAUUAAAAUUAUUUGAAAAGUAUACCCCUUUCCCUAAAAUUUUGAUAUGUUGGAGGUCAGCGAUUAGAUGAUUUAAAAGGGAAUUUAACUCUUUAUUCCAGAAAAAGUCUCAUAAAUCAAAGUUCCAUGCACAGACCUAUGAUUUUGUCCAACACUCUUUGAUCUAAAGUGAGCAAAUUCUUUCAUUAAACACACUUUAAUCUACUUUCAUAAUAUUUAAUCUCUGUUCAUUUCUGUGUGAUUUCUCUAUGACCAUAUUUCCUUUUCUGCAUCAACUGAAAAGUUAAAUUAGCUCAACGAUCACAAUAAACUCCAUCAUCAGGUUAAAUUAUUUCUAAGAAUCCCAACUUCAAGCUUUAGCUGGUUAUUAACAAGAUAUAUACACACACACACACACACAUAUACACACACACAAAUAUAUGUAUGGUAUGUGUUUGAAUAUACAGACACAUAUAAAAACUCAUUAAAAAUGAAACCACAUCUCUCUGACAAGAUUACAUUUUUUAACAAGCAGCAGCAAAAAAUGCCUUGAUGUAUAAUUCUUCUCUUUUAUCCCUCAUAAAUGAAUCUGACUUGGUUUUCUAGAUUUUUUUCAUUUAGUAUGCAUCUAAGACAAGUUUUCAUAUUAAUGUAAAAUAUUUUUAUCUUGGUCCUCCUGAUGUACACAAAAAAUUAAUUUCAAAUGCCAAAAUUAUUGUUAUAAAAUGUCUAAUGUCUCUCUCAGGAGUAAUUAGGUAACUUCAUUUCUGUACAUCAGUGACAUUGGCAACUACAUAUUUUAGAAAUUUACUGUUAUUUUCUUAUUUCCAGGCUCCCUCAAAUGUUUCAGGUUGAAAGCCCUGGACUCCCACUGUCUUGCCACAACCCAGCUCUGUAUCCUGUCCCGUCCCUCCCCUGCACCUGGCAUUGCACAGAAGGUGUGAGUCUCCUUUAAAUGCUUCUGCAAGGCUUAGCUUACUCCUGCGAUGUCUGUGCCUAUUAGUGAAAGGCAAAAGGUCAAGGGAAGAAUGCAAUCAAGCUGUGACUCUAAAACCAGAUGUUUUCUUUCGGGUAACUCUGAAAAGUCAGAGAUUUAUAAUUUGAUCAUCUGUGUAUUUUCCCCCUGAACAAGUUACAUGUCCAGAUCUUUGGAUAUAAUCUAUUGGAGAAAGGAUCUGGGUCUGAUGCAUGGUUCUUACCCUAGCAGCAAGCCCAAGAAGAUAAUGGAGCAGCAUGUCAUGAACGGAGGGAUGGGUGGAUGAAGAGAAACGCAGCCCAACAUGUCUCCCUAGAAGAAAAAAUAAAUCAAAAGGAGAAUUCUUGCUUGCAAAAAAUGAGCGUUGGAUAGGGAGAAUGAAAGAGAGAGUGAGGGGGAGAGAGAGGGAAGAGACAAGACAAGGAAAUAGCCAAUAAAGCAGACACAAGAAAAAGGGAGAGAUGAGAGGAGAAAGAAACGGGAUGGGACAAGGAGACAAGAGGUAGAAAGGCAGGGGACAGGAACAGGAAUAGGACUCAGAGAGGACCUGGGAGAAUGCGGGAGGAAGCUGGCGACAGAGGGAAGGGAAGGACCCCACAGUCAAGGUCAGGACUCAAGGGCGCUACCCUGGGGAAAGGCAGGGGAAAUGAGAUGGACCCCGCUGACCGCUCCCGCUUGCUCCAGGUCUUGGCCCACCUGAGGGCGCUUCUCUCCCAGGCUGUCAGGCGGCGCGCAGGGAGGGAGAUGCCUACGCGGCCGCCACCGCCAAGGGCCCAGCUCGCGGCUCUGAACUUGGCGCCAGAGCCCUGAGGGCACCAGGCCCCGCCUUCCUGGCUGCACACGCCUUCCGGGCAGGGCUUGUGGGGGUGAGUGGGUGCGCGGAGAUACCAUGAGGAAGCGCCAAGUUUCUCUCCGAGGCUUUGGAGGGUCUGUUGCAAAGAUGAGAUCCUCAAGAACAAAGGAGCAAGAAGGUAUAUUUCAGAAAGAAGGAAACAACUUGGAAGAGUGGAGUUCAAGAAACGAUGGUGAGCAAAGAAGCUGGGAACACGCUGAUUAAGCACUUGAUUCCGUCUCAGACCAAAUAUGCGGAUGUCCUUCGUCACCUACUCCAUGGACUGUGACACCGUCUUGCUGCUCACCUCAGACAAGGGCACAGAAAGUCAAGGAGGCCAGGCAAUCUAAGCAAUUCGGCAGAUGGAAAAUUUCAACUCCACAUACAACAAGGUUUCCAGCAUGAUUAUUGCUAUGACCGAUGGAACAAUGAUGAAACAUCCAUUUUUGGACACUCUCAAAGAAAUCCUACCAUGUGGUUAUUCAUGGAAAUGGCUUUCAGACUCUAAAGAAACAAGACGAAGUUAUUUGCAUAUUUAUCUUCAAACGAAAGCACUAUCAUUGGGAGUACUUUAUUGAAGUCAGCUUGAACAACGGCAAAACAUUCUUCAAGAGCAAUGUCAGCGUCACCAGCAACACAUGUAGUCACGGAACAAAUACCACGGAGCAGCACCUAGCACAGAAGAAGGCCCCUGCCCUGGGCAUCUGUGGGAAACCAGGGCCCCAGGUCUGCAGUGACUGGUACAGAAACUCUGAGCUGAGGAGCUAACACUAUACCCAUCUGCACCUGAGGGAACCCGCCAGGCUCCAGCAAAACCAAACAGGAAACUCUCCCCGGGAGACACCGUCCUCAUCCAGGGGAACCAGGAUUCUCGUGGAAAAUCAUUUCCUACUGAAGAGGCGCUCAGAGGAAAAACUCCCAGGUAUCUCCCCAAAGAGAGGCAGCAGAUACAAGAAACAAGGAGAUUCAAAGCCCAGAGAGUAAAGAGAAUAGAGUGAUCUAAAAUGAAUAUUAAAAUAAGGGUGUAUAAAGUGUUCAAAAAAGAUAAAAGGAAUAAAACUAUAUGACCAGAACAGCUAAUUAAGACAAAUGCAGAAUUUUAAAAGGGCCAAAGUUCUAAAAUUCAUUAAUAAGAAAUGAAACACAAACACAGAGUUUAAGACAAAAAGUGGAAUAACUCCAAAGUUAACCUGAGCAACACCCGUGCUGCGGCACUGCUGACCAAGGUGGAAACCAGAAACGGGACGCUGUGCGCAACGAGCAGAUAAGGAGUGUCUAGCAGGACUGCUCACUCCACCAUCCUCAGCUCACUACUUUGGGGGAGGCAACCACUGAACUCCCUCUGAUUUUUCUCAUUCCUACUGGAUGCUGAUGCUUAGGGAAUGCAGACCCCAGCCCACCAACUUCUAAGCAAAGCCAGCAAUGAGGGGAGCUCCCUGCUUGCUGGAAGGGGAGUCCCUCCCCCCUGCCCAGACUAGGGACUUCCAAGAUGCACUGGCCAGGUCUUGUGCCCUUGAUCCUUAGCACAGCCCUGAGGGUGGUGAUUCCCCACUUAGGCAUCUGGUUGGACAAUGGAUGGGCUUCGCUGAAGGCUGGCAGCCUUGUUGAACGCGUUCUUCCAGAGAGCGGGAGUAAGGGUCCAAACGGUCCUCUCAGUCACCCCCUGCUACGUGCACCUGCCCGCUCUCCUAGGGUUCUGCUGGGGACCCCAGUGGGGGCAAAGCUCAAGCCCGGGAUGGAUGGGGGAAGGUCUCUGGGCACAGGUGGAGAAUGUGAAAUAACAUGAAUCCAGAACUUGCCAUGUGCCAAGCAGGAUGCUGAGCACAUCUAAACCCUGAAGGACCUAACCAUACUUAUAUGCUGGGAGGGGAGGCACAGAGCAUUCCAGUUGUGCACAUGGUCAGGACUGGACGGGCCGCUGGGUCCUGGCUGAGCCCUGCAGUCCUUCCAUUCUCCAGUGCUCCUGGCUUCCAGCACUGGGCGGCAGGUGCUGGCAGGCUGCCCCACACAUCGACCUGGCCCAGGCUGCCCUUGCACUAGAUGUUUCUGCUUACGGGACUCUAGGGGCCUCUCCCCAAACUACUCAGGACCCCAGCAGCUCACUGGACCCUCUAGCUAGGUGGUGGCCCCAGAGGGCUUUUGUGGUCUGACCUCAGUAAACACAGGUGAUGGGAAGAUGGUGUGGGGAAGUUGUGGGUUUGGCCUGAAUUGUACUCCCUCUGCUCUGCCUUGUUGCUUGGUUUCUAAGGUGGAUGAGGGAUGAGGAAGAGGAGAGAGGAAUGGGGUGAGGAGGCAAAGUAUUUUCCAAUAGAGAGAGACCAGCUGUGAGA